UACGUAGGGGGCAAGCGUUGUCCGGAUUUAUUGGGCGUAAAGAGCGUGUAGGCGGCCAGGGAGGUCCGUUGUGAAAACUCGAGGCUCAACCUCGAGACGCCGAUGGAAACCCCCUGGCUAGAGUCCGGAAGAGGAGAAUGGAAUUCCCGGUGUAGUGGUGGAAUGCGUAGAUAUCGGGAGGAACACCAGUGGCGAAGGCGGUUGCCUGGAGCUUUGCUGACGCUGAGGCGCGAAAGCGUGGGGAGCGAUCCGG
rnacentral:rRNA from 1 species